GCUGUAGCUCAGUGCCAAAGCAUCUGCUUUGCAUGCAGAAGGUCCCAGGUUCAAUUCUUGACAUCUCCA